rnacentral:rRNA from 1 species
AUUGAACGCUGGCGGCAGGCUUAACACAUGCAAGUCGAGCGGGGUGAUGGUGCUUGCACUAUCACUUAGCGGCGGACGGGUGAGUAAUGCUUAGGAAUCUGCCUAUUAGUGGGGGACAACAUCGCGAAAGGGAUGCUAAUACCGCAUACGUCCUACGGGAGAAAGCAGGGGAUCACUUGUGACCUUGCGCUAGUAGAUGAGCCUAAGUCGGAUUAGCGAGUUGGUGGGGUAAAGGCCUACCAAGGCGACGAUCUGUAGCGGGUCUGAGGAAAUGUUCAGUCUAUCUGUGACUGAUACACAGACCAGACACCAACGGCAGAGAUCAGUGUGGCAGCUUGGACCAUGGCCGGAACACGGAUCCCGCCAUGCUGCGUGUGUGCAGAAGGCCUUAUGGUUGUAAAGCACUUUAAGCGAGGAGGAGGCUCUUUUUGUCAAUACCCAUGCAGAGUGGACGUUACUCGCAGAAUAAGCACCGGCUAACUCUGUGCCAGCCGCCGCAGUAA